rnacentral:rRNA from 1 species
AUACGUAGGGUGCGAGCGUUGUCCGGAAUUACUGGGCGUAAAGAGCUCGUAGGUGGUUUGUCGCGUCGUCUGUGAAAUUCCGGGGCUUGACUCCGGGCGUGCAGGCGAUACGGGCAUAACUUGAGUACUGUAGGGGAGACUGGAAUUCCUGGUGUAGCGGUGAAAUGCGCAGAUAUCAGGAGGAACACCGGUGGCGAAGGCGGGUCUCUGGGCAGUAACUGACGCUGAGGAGCGAAAGCAUGGGUAGCGAACAGGGUUAGAUACCCUGGUAGUCCAUGCCGUAAACGGUGGGCGCUAGGUGUAGGGGUCUUCCACGACUUCUGUGCCGUAGCUAACGCAUUAAGCGCCCCGCCUGGGGAGUACGGCCGCAAGGCUAAAACUCAAAGGAAUUGACGGGG